CAAUACCGCGUGAGGGAGGAAGGCUCUUGGGUCGUAAACCUCUUUUCUCAAGGAAGAAUGCAAUGACGGUACUUGAGGAAUAAGCAUCGGCUAACUCCGUGCCAGCAGCCGCGGUAAUACGGAGGAUGCAAGCGUUAUCCGGAAUGAUUGGGCGUAAAGGGUCUGUAGGUGGUACUGAAAGUCUGCUGUUAAAGAGCAAGGCUCAACCUUGUAAGAGCAGUGGAAACUACAGAACUAGAGUGCGGUAGGGGCAAAAGGAAUUCCUGGUGUAGCGGUGAAAUGCGUAGAUAUCAGGAAGAACACCGGUGGCGAAAGCGUUUUGCUAGACCGCAACUGACACUGAGGGACGAAAGCUAGGGGAGCGAAUGGGAUUAGAUACCCCAGUAGUCCUAGCCGUAAACGAUGGAUACUAGGCGUGGCUUGUAUCGACCCGAGCCGUGCCGGAGCUAACGCGUUAAGUAUCCCGCCUGGGGAGUACGCACGCAAGUGUGAAACUCAAAGGAAUUGACGGGGGCCCGCACAAGCGGUGGAGUAUGUGGUUUAAUUCGAUGCAACGCGAAGAACCUUACCAAGACUUGACAUCCUGCGAAUUUUCCUGAAAGGGAAAAGUGCCUUCGGGAGCGCAGAGACAGGUGGUGCAUGGCUGUCGUCAGCUCGUGUCGUGAGAUGUUGGGUUAAGUCCCGCAACGAGCGCAACCCUCGUUUUUAGUUGCCAGCAUUAAGAUGGGCACUCUAGAGAGACUGCCGGUGACAAACCGGAGGAAGGUGAGGAUGACGUCAAGUCAGCAUGCCCCUUACGUCUUGGGCUACACACGUACUACAAUGCUACGGACAAAGGGCGGCUACACAGCGAUGUGAUGCAAAUCUCAGAAACCGUAGCUCAGUUCAGAUCGAAGGCUGCAACUCGCCUUCGUGAAGGAGGAAUCGCUAGUAAUUGCAGGUCAGCAUACUGCAGUGAAUUCGUUCC
rnacentral:rRNA from 1 species